rnacentral:rRNA from 1 species
AGGGGAAACGACAUCGAAAGCUUGCUUUUGAUGGGCGUCGACCGGCGCACGGGUGAGUAACGCGUAUCCAACCUGCCCACCACUUGGGGAUAACCUUGCGAAAGUAAGACUAAUACCCAAUGAUAUCUCUAGAAGACAUCUGAAAGAGAUUUAAAGAUUUAUCGGUGAUGGAUGGGGGAUGCGUCUGAUUAGCUUGUUGGCGGGGUAACGGCCCACCCAAGGCAACGAUCAGUAGGGGUUCUGAGAGGAAGGUCCCCACAUUGGUAACUGAGACACGGUCCAAACUCCG